rnacentral:rRNA from 1 species
AGUCGAGCGGAGCUUAUCCUUCGGGAUAAGCUUAGCGGCGGACGGGUGAGUAACACGUAGGCAACCUACCCUCUAGACUGGGAUAACUACCGGAAACGGUAGCUAAUACCGGAUAAUUCCUUCACCCUCAUGGGCGAGGGAUGAAAGGCGGAGCAAUCUGCUACUAGAGGAUGGGCCUGCGGCGCAUUAGCUAGUUGGUGGGGUAACGGCCUACCAAGGCGACGAUGCGUAGCCGACCUGAGAGGGUGAACGGCCACACUGGGACUGAGACACGGCCCAGACUCCUACGGGAGGCAGCAGU